rnacentral:rRNA from 1 species
UGAGUAACCUGCCCUUAACUCUGGGAUAAGCCUGGGAAACUGGGUCUAAUACCGGAUAUGACUCCUCAUCGCAUGGCGGGGGGUGGAAAGCUUUUUGUGGUUUUGGAUGGACUCGCGGCCUAUCAGCUUGUUGGUGAGGUAAUGGCUCACCAAGGCGACGACGGGUAGCCGGCCUGAGAGGGUGACCGGCUACACUGGGACUGAGACACGGCCCAGACUCCUACGGGAGGCAG